rnacentral:rRNA from 1 species
AGUGAACGCUGGCGGUCGGCCAAACACAUGCAAGUCGAACGGCAGCACAGUAAGAGCUUGCUCUUACGGGUGGCGAGUGGCGGACGGGUGAGGAAUCCAUCGGAAUCUACUUUUUCGUGGGGGAUAACGUAGGGUAACUUACGCUAAUACCGCAUACGACCUACGGGUGAAAGCAGGGGAUCUUCGGACCUUGCGCGAUUGAAUGAGCCGAUGUCGGAUUCGCUAGUUGGCGGGGUAAAGGCCCACCCAGGCGACGAUCCGUAGCUGGUCUGAGAGGAUGAUCAGCCACACUGGAACUGAGACACGUUCCAGACUCCUACGGGAGGCGGCAGUGUGGAAUAGUGGACAGUGGUCGCAAGCCUGAUCCAGCCGUACCGCGUGGGUGAAGAAGGCCUUCUGGGUGUAAAGCCCAUUUGUUGGGAAAUAAAAGCAUCAGGUGAAUACCCCGCUGUUCUGACGGUACUCAAAGAAUAAGCACCGGCUAACUUCGUG